UUCACUCUCAUAGGAAGCCAGAGACCGUUUUAGUUAGGACUCUUGUAUCUUCAUUUUCCCUUCCGACCUUUGUCUGCUUCUCCAUCCUACCCCGGCCUUCUUAAGAAUAACCCUUCCAGCAGCCCUUCUGCUGUUCUGAACAGGAGCAAACACCAUCUCCUUUCUCGAGGCAGCCGCGACACGACGGCCAGAGCAGCCAAAGUUUCCCCCGGCCCUCCCUGCCGCCAGGCUCCGUGCGCGCUCGGUACACGCCGUGUCUGCGGGGCUGGGCAGGACUGCAAAGCGCAGGGCCUUGGGUCUUGGCCUCCAUCGGAUGAACAAUUUCCCCUUGAAGGCUUAUUUCCAAGGAGAGAUGCCUCACCACAAAAUGUCCCUCUCUGCCCUGUCACAGUUGGUCCUGAUUUGACUGUCUCUGUGGAGAAGCCAAGGAUCAAAUGCUCCAUGGCGCCAGACUGUUUUCUUUUGCAGCCUGCAGGAACUGCUGAAGCCCCCGCUCAGAGAAGCACGCUCCUCCAGGCGCUGGGAGAUGCACCACCCCUCCUGACAGCCUGAUGGAUUAUGGCCCCAGUUCUGUCAGUGGAUCCAACCAAACCAGCAAAGAGGCAGAGGCAGCCCCCAGCGAUGCCCACCCCUACACAUGGCAGGGUGACUUUGCAAGACUUGGCUUCACUUUGUAGGGCCCCAAGGAGUUCCUUGUGCGGGUCAAACUCGACUGCGUGAUGAAAGCACCUGCAAAGUUUUGGUGUCAUGGAAGAUCUGUUUGUGAUCUCAGCCUCCUUUCUGCCCUUCCUCCCGGUGGACUCCACCGGGGUGGGUGCCUGAGACAGCCGGCGCUGGCUGCAUGUGGAUGUGGUGGCCACAGUGCCCAAAGUUUACCCAAGCAGCUAAUCUGCAUUUUU